rnacentral:rRNA from 1 species
GAUGAACGCUGGCGGCGUGCCUAAUACAUGCAAGUCGAGCGAACGGACGAGAAGCUUGCUUCCCUGAUGUUAGCGGCGGACGGGUGAGUAACACGUGGAUAACCUACCUAUAAGACUGGGAUAACUUCGGGAAGCCGGAGCUAAUACCGGAUAAUAUUUUGAACCGCAUGGUUCAAAAGUGAAAGACGGUCUUGCUGUCACUUAUAGAUGGAUCCGCGCUGCAUUAGCUAGUUGGUAAGGUAACGGCUUACCAAGGCAACGAUGCAUAGCCGACCUGAGAGGGUGAUCGGCCACACUGGAACUGAGACACGGUCCAGACUCCUACGGGAGGCAGCAGUAGGGAAUCUUCCGCAAUGGGCGAAAGCCUGACAGAGCAACGCCGCGUGAAUGAUGAAGGUCUUCGGAUCGUAGAACUCUGUUAUUAGGGAAGAACAUAUGUGUAAGUAACUGUGCACAUCUUGACGGUACCUAAUCAGAAAGCCACGGCUAACUACGUG